rnacentral:lncRNA from 1 species
AUUUACGUAGAGAAGCCUCUGUCAAUACUGAAGUGUUUUUUGUUCAUUCUGUUGUUGGUCUCCAGACAUUUGUAUUUUGAGAAUCAUUCUGAAACCAGGGUUCAAAGCACUAAGAAAAUAUGAUUCUAUUUCUGAAUCUUGUGCUAAUGCUUCAAAGGGAGAUGUAGAAACAGAAUCAUAACUGUUCACCCAAUGUAUCUUCUAGCAGACUAAAAGGUUUGGUUCCUACUCCAUUCAAUGUCUAUGUGAUUAGUAACGUGGUCCACAUCUUUCACUCAUAAUUUUAUUAUUAUUAUUAUUAUUAUGUUUUGCAUAAUAACAUUGUAAUGCCCAGUAAGGUACUGAGGUGUUAUGUAACUGCAGUCCUGUAAUGAAUUUAAGUUUCAGUUCAAGUUGUUCACCAGGUUGUUAUUCCUCAUUCCUAAUAUUUUCUUUUCAUAACUUGCAUACUGAGGCAGAACAACAAUAAGAACAUUUGUUAGCUUUUUCAUGUGCAGGUUCAGCAGAGGGCAAUGCUCGAGAUAGAGUUGGGCUUACAAGAUAUAUAUACGUACGUCGUCACUUCUGAAUAAACAGAGAUGAGCAGCAACAGAGAUGUCUAUCCGACUGCCAUCCUUCCUUUACUUGGGUUUGUCAUUUCUAUCAGCGUCCGCUUCCUUCAUUGGUUGUUGCUUGUUUGCACACUGCUGUAGAUCAGAGAUCAUAAUAUAUUUUCCGUUGAUACAAUUGAAUACGCCACCCAGUUUGCUAUUAUAAUUGUUCAAAUCUCUCUCAUAGCGAUUCUAAAAAAAUUAUCAUGCAUAUAAGUCUCAGUUUAAGUAGAAUAUAACCGUUGGUUUAUUCAAAUGCAGAUUCUUUUGUAAUUUUAGAGGUUAUUCUACAGCUUCUACAUGGAAGACGAUACAAAUAAGAGGGCAUUCUACAGAAGAUUGGACGAUGAUAUGGAAGGCAUUUGUAAUUUGGGCAAUGACGGCCCACCAAACACACCCACCAUGAAGAGCUGCUUAGACGCCGAGGUCAUCUUAUGUUAAUCACCCCGUAUCUU